rnacentral:rRNA from 1 species
UACCAGCACCCCGAGUGGUCGGGACGAUUAUUGGGCCUAAAGCAUCCGUAGCCGGUUUUACAAGUCCUCCGUUAAAUCCAACUGCUUAACAGAUGGGCCGCGGAGGAUACUAUAAGACUAGGAGGCAGGAGAGGCAAGCGGUACUCAGUGGGUAGGGGUAAAAUCCGUUGAUCCAUUGAAGACCACCAGUGGCGAAGGCGGCUUGCCAGAAUGCGCUCGACGGUGAGGGAUGAAAGCUGGGGGAGCAAAUCGG